GAAAUGCGAUAAGUAGUGUGAAUUGCAGAAUUCAGUGAAUCAUCGAAUCUUUGAACGCACCUUGCGCUCCUUGGUAUUCCUUGGAGCAUGCCUGUUUGAGUAUCAUGAAAUCUUCAAAGUAAAUCUUUUGUUAACUCAAUUGGUUUCUACUUUGGUAUUGGAGGUCUUUGCAGCUUCACACCUGCUCCUCUUUGUUCAUUAGCUGGAUCUCAGUGUUAUGCUUGGUUCCACUCGGCGUGAUAAGUUAUCUAUCGCUGAGGACACUGUAAAAGGUGGCCAAGGUAAAUGCAGAUGAACCGCUUCUAAUAGUCUAUUGACUUGGACAAUACUUUUAUGAUCUGAUCUCAAAUCAGGUAGGACUACCCGCUGAACUUAAGC
rnacentral:misc_RNA from 1 species